GGCCGGUUAGCUCAGUUGGUCAGAGCAUGGCUCUGAUAACACCAAGGUGCAGGGUUCAAUCCCUGUACCGGCCA